rnacentral:lncRNA from 1 species
CGUCGCCUCCUUCUCCGGUCCCCUCCCCCCUCCCGGCUGCCCCCUUCUCCGCUGCCUCCUCGCCUCCUUCUCCGCCUCCACCCCGGCCCCCGCGAAACAGGAAAAGUGGGGGAAGGAGAAAAAGGAGCGGUUGACCCGAGGGCCGAGUUGAUCGGAGCGCCGGCCGGGGACAGAAGGAGCGCGCUUGGUGACAAGUCAGGUGGAGAAGCUCAAGUCUUGAACUCUGCUUGGUUUCCCAGAGAAAGGUAACAUCACACACAC